GGUUAAGCGAACAAGCGUACACGGUGGCUCCUCGGGAAGGCCGAUGCGAUGCAGUAC
rnacentral:rRNA from 1 species